CCUGUAUUUCAGUGCUUAUAAUAAGAGAGUUCUCUUUUUUAUUUUCUAAUUAUUAUUAUUUUAUUUUUUUACUUUGAGCUAAAUUUGAAUGCAAUGUCCCAAACACAUAUUGGAUUUUUAAUAUUAAGCCAAUAUUUUUCUCGAGUUUACUUUAGACUUUCUCUGGGUUUGAUUUGUAAAAACCGGAGAGUCCGCACCUCGCUGUGUUUAUUAUAAAUAUAUAUAUCCCCCUUUUUUCUCCAUUUUUAUACCCUUGAGAUUGAUGUCUCCGGAUGAUUGAACGUGAUGAAACAAAUAAAACAAACACAACCUGUGCUGAGUAUGGAAAAUUCCGGACAUUGAGCAUAUUUAAAAUCACUUAAAGUCACGCAUCAAAAUGGGUUUGAGGGAUAUCUCAUUUUAACAGGAGCCAGAAGUCAGCUCACAACACUCAUAAAGCCUCAAUAUAUCGCCUUACACAUGUCAGGAAAUCCAAGAUUUCAAUAUUAUUCUAAGCCUGAAUGAUAUUUCCUUAGAUGUUGGAGAAAUGUAACAUAUCUAUUUUUUUCCCUUCCCCCCCUCCCACCAUAGUACAGUACUCUUCAUAUGUACUUAGAAGUGACAAAGUCAGCUCCCUGCUCAGCUGCACAUAAUCUGACUACGUGACACAAACAUGAUAAAAAAAAAUUUCCAUAAUGCUGGUGUGUUUUAUAAACCACUCAGGGCUUAAUGGAAUAUAUUCUUAAUGCGUCGUGACAUUAGUAACAACUCAAACUGAAUACUGAACCAUAUGAUACCUUAGACACCUUCUCAGAUGUGUACUUUUUUUUAAAACUUCAAAUCGUUAGCAUUGUUCAUCUUAUACACUCUGAAAUCUUGCCUCUCCUGCUGUCUGUGUGUGUGUGCGUGUGCGUGUGUGUGUGUGCGUGUGCGUGCGCACAAACACGCUCGCGCGGACACACGCGCGCGCGGGCAUGGGGAGGCGCCCCCGGGAGGCAUCCCCCUUAUGUUACAUUCACAACCAGGGAUAUUUUAUACCCCGCAGGACUGGAUUUGAUCCAUGGCUUAAAGGUUGCCUAUAAGGUCCGCGUCCGGAUCUCCGAGCAGCACACUGUAAUUAUAAGACAUGAUUCUCUCUUCAUUGACUGUGUGUACAGUCAAUACGACACGAAACUC
rnacentral:lncRNA from 1 species